rnacentral:lncRNA from 1 species
CUUCAAGGACCCAGCAUUCAUUGUAGGACUCACUGUCUUCAACAACAACAGAAAAUAAAGGCAAAUCUCACUGUCUGUGAAACGGUCUCUUCAAUAAAGCAGCCCAAUCCAGAAAGAUCAAGCCACCUGAAGAAGAUACUGCAAGGCAAGAUGCCAAAUGAUCUAAACUCAUUGCACAAGAGGAGGAGGCAAAUUAUAAGUAUUGCUUCAUAUUAUGUUAAAAUUCCUGAAAUCUAAGGAUCGCAAGCAACUUUAAGAAGAGCAUCUUUUAACAGAGUUCAUUUCAUUCAUUUGUAAGAUGAGAAAUAGACGUGAAAUAGGCAAUGAACACAAAGUAACAAGUGACAUAAGAAACUUCAACAGAAUUGCCAGGUCUGCAGUGAUAUAGGCCUGCAACUCUAACAAAGGUUUAUUAAAGGUGAUCUUUUCCACUUUUAAUUAUGAAUAUUUAUGACUUAGACUCAUCUGAUUAAGAAUUUUACACAUUUAAUGUUGACAUAAAAUUCUGACCAACAUUUUGACAUUUCUGUGGAAUAUUACAUUAUGAGAGUGAUUUGAGUCAUUUUUAAUCACAUGUUUUAUAAUGACUAGCAAUAAUAUUAAUAAAUGCUUCGAGACUUACAAAAAGGCCUGCCCUUUGACAACAAGGAAACAGACAAUAUCCAUAUGGAGCUGAGGAAAAUACCACAACAGUAAGAGCAGAAUCAUUUUAAAUACUAAAAAUAUCCCAUAUAACACAGCUCAAUUUCAAAAGUAGGAAUAUUUACUUAUGAAAAGUAUGUCUUCAUAGACUUACAAAAGCAGGGAGUUUUUCCUUAUUUUUUUUUUGAAUAAAAAGGAAAGUUACAAUAGCAUAGGAUUGUUUUUAUACACAACACAGUUGCUAAGAUACAAAUGAAGACAGACUAUAACUGUAUGUGUAUCCUCC